rnacentral:rRNA from 1 species
GAUGAACGCUAGCGGCAGGCUUAACACAUGCAAGUCGAGGGGCAGCACGGGUAGCAAUACCUGGUGGCGACCGGCGGAAGGGUGCGUAACGCGUGAGCAACAUACCCUAUACAGGGGAAUAAGCCAGGGAAACUUGGUCUAAUGCCCCAUAGCAAUAGAAUAAGGCAUCUUAUUUUAUUUAAAGCUUCGGUGGUAUAGGAUUGGCUCGCGUGACAUUAGCUGGAUGGUGAGGUAACGGCUCACCAUGGCGAUGAUGUCUAGGGGUUCUGAGAGGAAGGCCCCCCACACUGGGACUGAGACACGGCCCAGACUCCUACGGGAGGCAGCAGUGAGGAAUAUUGGACAAUGGAUGGAAAUCUGAUCCAGCCAUGCCGCGUGCAGGAAGACGGCCCUAUGGGUUGUAAACUGCUUUUCUACGUGAGCAAUAAGGUCUACGAGUAGACUGAUGAGAGUAGCGUAGGAAUAAGCAUCGGCUAACUCCGUGCCAGCAGCCGCGGUAAUACGGAGGAUGCGAGCGUUAUCCGGAUUUAUUGGGUUUAAAGGGUGCGUAGGCGGCUUUUUAAGUCAGCGGUGAAAUUUUGCAGCUUAACUGUAACAGUGCCGUUGAUACUGAGGAGCUAGGAUUUGGUUGCUGUGGGUGGAAUGUGUGGUGUAGCGGUGAAAUGCUUAGAGAUCACACAGAAUAUCGAUUGCGAAGGCAGCUCACAAAGCCAAGAUUGACGCUGAGGCACGAAAGUGUGGGGAUCAAACAGGAUUAGAUACCCUGGUAGUCCACACUGUAAACGAUGAUAACUCGCUGUCGGCGAUACACAGUCGGUGGCCAAGCGAAAGCGAUAAGUUAUCCACCUGGGGAGUACGACCGCAAGGUUGAAACUCAAAGGAAUUGACGGGGGCCCGCACAAGCGGAGGACAUGUGGUUUAUUCGAUGAUACGCGAGGAACCUUACCCGG